GGGUCCCCGCUGUCUCCGCGCGCCAGGGGCUGGGAGGUGUGAGUAAAGGAGGAUCGCUCCUUCUGGGACCGAGCAGCCUCCACCUGCUGAUAACCUUUGUGCAUCCCCCUCGUCCCCGGGCAUGGAAAGCAGAGCCCCCAGCACAGCCUGCGCUCCCUGAAGGGCUCCCGCGCUCCACAGUGCUCGGACUCCCUACCUGGCUGCGCUCAGGUGGGUGGCGGCCUCGCUCCGCAGGUUCCUGCAUGACCUGUGCAGGAACUCUCCGGGUAGUGGGUCGCUGAUAGAGUUGCCGCUCCUACAACGUCCUGCGUCCAGCGCCCUCGGAAGGCCUCAUGCUCUGACCUGCUCCGGGAUCUCAUCCUGAUCGCACCCCAGCCUGCACUCCGGAGGCUGGCCUAGUCCCACUGGUUCCAGGCCACCUGCGGCCCAGCCAAAGCAGCUUCUCUGCUAUCCAGUGGGCUGAACCAAAACUUCCCCUAGAAAUCUGGGUCCUUCUCAAGUUUGCUUUUUUCCUGGGUGCUCUCCCUUAGCCCAAGGGUGCUUCCUAGUUAACGAUUCUUUGUUCUAAAUAAUGAUAAUAAAUAAAUAAUGAAUAACAGGAGACCAGUUACCUUACUGUGAGGCCUCUGUCUUCUAAGGACCAAGAUUAUUGUAGGAGACUAUCCCAGGAAGAAGACAAUAAGCAGUAUGCGAACAGGGGAGUCUCUACUGUGCACAUGUAGGGCUCAGACCCACCAGAGUUCCUCUGAAAGUCUGCAUGCCAUGCCCUUUAGCUUUGCCCUAGUAGGGGCCAACGGAAGUAGCUCAUGGAGGGUUGCUCUUGGGGACAACUCCCUGCCUGGACUAUGAAGAACAUACUUCUGAGGCCAGAAAAAGCCCCAGGAAGAGAGAAGUAAUUUCUUGCUGGUAAGAUGUCUAUGUGCUUGGGAGCUGCUCACUAAAGCUGCAGUGACCUCUGGGAUGGGGGUCAAAAGGAUGUGGGUGGACAAGGACCAGUCUCUGCAGACAUGUUGCAGGAUGCUGGGUGACUGAAGGAACUGGUCAGCUGGAUGCUGAUGAGUGGCUCUGAUUGAUUUGAGGGUGAAUUUUCUGGAAAAGAUAGUUGAAGAAGAUCAAAUGUUUUCCUGACUGGUGUAAUUUAAUUGUACAGUUGGUGUUUGCUGUGUAUAAUUGGAUUUUUCUUUGACCUUGACAGUCUUGCUGGCUCACUACCUGCAUUGGAACACAGUUUUCUAACUCUCUCAAAUAUAGCAAGCCAAACCUGGCUUCCAUGGAGGGCUGGCAGGCCUGCCACAGUCACAAGGUGCCAAUGGCUAUGGCAACCAGCCAAUAAAGCCAGUGGUGUCUGUAUUUUCCAUUUUGCCCUCUAUAGGCACAUUUCAGCUGGAAAAAAAGGAGUGAUUUUUUUUCCUUCACUUUGGGCUUCUGAAAAGAAAUCUUGGUGACAUUCAGUCCUUUAAUUCUGUGCACUCUGAAGUUCAGCGAUGUCGAAGCUCUGUUCUUCUAUGGAGCACAGUGGGUACCAAGGUGGGAGGUUCUAAUCAGAAGGUCAUCAUAAAAAAAACUAGGCAGGGGUUAUAGGGAGUGUCUAUCUGUGCGCCCAAGGAGGUACUUCUACCUUAAAAUGUAUGUCAUUCACUUUUUGCAAUAAACAACUCACAUGGCUUCCCAAUUGAAGAUGUGU
rnacentral:lncRNA from 1 species